GGGUCAGUAGGUUGGUCGUGCCACCGGUACGUACUGGUCUCACUGAUUCCUCCUUCCUGAAGAACCGUAAUGCCAUUAAUUUGGUGUUGCGGGGAAACAGGACUGUUACUUUGAAAAAAUUAGAGUGUUUAACGCAAGCUAACGAUUGAAUACAUUAGCAUGGAAUAAUGAAAUAGGACGAUCGAUCCUAUUUUGUUGGUUUCUAGGAUUGACGUA
rnacentral:rRNA from 1 species